AACCAGAUCAGUUUUUCUUUCAUAUCAAAUUUUGUGUUGUUCAUGAGUUGAUAUGCAACAUGAUGUGUACUUCUUUUUGUCAACUUGGUAAUCAUAUCAGUGCAGACCCCAUUUGUUUUCAGUUUUGUACAAUAGAUUUGCCUAACAUCUUUUGAUUACAAUUACCGUGAUGAUUAAGUAUCAUAAAUCAAGCAUUUGUUAACUAUUUUAGAUUUGUGAUGCUUUAGAUUUUCCUAACAUCGUAGAUAAUUUCACCUGCAACAACUUUCUUAUAGACUGCAAUUUGUGAUGCUUUAGUCAUAUGUUGAGGCUUAUCUUUCGUUUAUUUUGUGAUCAAGGCACAUUCUUUUUUUUGUUCAUUCAGGGACAAAUAGACCCGGAGCAUUGAUGCUUUAAUUAUUAGAAUUUGAGAAUCGGGUUUGAGUAUCAUUUUUUGUUGAAGCUAUUAUAUUAGCCCUUUGCUAGAGAAUAUCUCUAGUGGUUUCUCAAAUUUGAUUAUUGAAAAGUCUAGUUUUUUACUUGCUCUUUUGACUUGCCUUUUAACAUUCUGUAACCUUGCUUGUGAAUUAUUGACAAUUACUAUAUAAGAAUUGUGACUUCUGUCAGUCUUUCUGUUAAGAAAGAAAAAAGAGACAUUAUCUCACUCUUGAAUUGCAUCCUAGAUAUUCUUUUAUCACAGAUCAUUCAUGAAUAAUAUUUUUAGACACAUUUCAAUUUCUUUAGCCUUUGGUUUUUCUCUUUCAUUUGUGUGUUUUUCACUUUGCACUUUUCUGGCAAAAUAUAUUUCAAACUGAUAUUUAGAUCAUUUUGUCAUCAUUUUAAAACUAAAGAAUUUUCAUAUUAAGAAUAUAGGUUUGUCUAGAGGAAGCCUACCUUGUUGGAGUUGAAUGUAAAGAUACUGAAUAUACAAUUCAUUUGCUGUUGAUGAAUCACUUGAAGAAUUUGCACAAUUAGCUCAUGCUGUUACACUUAUCGAAAGUAUGUUUCUAUUUCCCCAAUUGAACAUGAUUGAGCAAAUAGUUCUAUGGUUGCUCUAAGUGUGUAUUUCUAGAGGUCUAGAAUCUAGGGGUAUAUUAUUGCUUUGGCUGUCAUUGAAUGAUGAAAUUCAGAAAAUAUAUCUUUCUAUCAUUAGUAAACUCUACAGUUCUUCCUAUGUAUCAUGUCCAUCCUUGUCUAGCUUUAUUGAAUAGGAAUUUUGCUACAUAGUUUUAUUUGAUGCUAACCAGAUUCAGUUUUUCUUUCAUAUCAAAUUUGUGUUGUUCAUGAGUUGGAUAUGCAAUGUGAUGUACAUCUUUAUGUCAACUUAGUAAUCAUAUCAGUGCAGGCCUCAUUUGUUUUCAGUUUUGUACAAUAGAUUUACCUAACAUCUUUUGAUUAUAAUCACCAUGAUGAUUAAGUUAGCAAAUUGCUUCAUGGUUGAUGCUACGCAGAGAAUUUCACCUGCAACAACUUUCUUAUAGACUGCCAUUUGUGAUGCUUUACUCAUAUGUUGAGGUUUAUCAUUCUUUUAUUUUAUGAUCAAGGCACAUUCUUCAUUUGUUCAUUCAGGGACAAAGAUACCCAGAGCAAAGAUGCUUCACUUAUAGAAUUUGAGAAUCAGGUUUGAGUAUCUUUUUUUGUUGAAGCUAUUAUAUUACCUUGACUAGAGAAUAUCUCUAGUGUUUCUCAAAUUUGAUUAUUGAAA
rnacentral:lncRNA from 1 species